rnacentral:sRNA from 1 species
UGAUGUUGUAAGCCAUAUGGGUUAAU